rnacentral:rRNA from 1 species
CUGAUGUUAGCGGCGGACGGGUGAGUAACACGUGGGUAACCUACCUAUAAGACUGGGAUAACUCCGGGAAACCGGGGCUAAUACCGGAUAAUAUUUUGAACCGCAUGGUUCAAUAGUGAAAGACGGUCUCGGCUGUCACUUAUAGAUGGACCCGCGCCGUAUUAGCUAGUUGGUAAGGUAACGGCUUACCAAGGCGACGAUACGUAGCCGACCUGAGAGGGUGAUCGGCCACACUGGAACUGAGACACGGUCCAGACUCCUACGGGAGGCAGCAGAC